UACGUAGGUGGCAAGCGUUGUCCGGAUUUAUUGGGUUUAAAGGGUGCGUAGGCGGCCUAUUAAGUCAGUGGUGAAAUAUUUCAGCUUAACUGGAAUUGUGCCAUUGAUACUGAUGGGCUUGAGUACAGAUGAGGUAGGCGGAAGUUGACGGUGUAGCGGUGAAAUGCUUAGAUAUCGUCAAGAACACCGAUAGCGAAGGCAGCUUACUGGGCUGUAACUGACGCUGAGGAGCGAAAGCGUGGGGAGCGAACAGG
rnacentral:rRNA from 1 species